UCGAACGGAGAUUAAAUAGCUUGCUAUUUAAUCUUAGUGGCGCACGGGUGAGUAAUAUAUAGCUAACUUGCCCAUUACUAAGGGACAACAGUUGGAAACGACUGCUAAUACCUUAUACUCCGUAUCUAUAUAAGUAGAUACGGGAAAGUUUUUCGGUAAUGGAUAGGGCUAUAUCGUAUCAGCUAGUUGGUAAGGUAACGGCUUACCAAGGCUAUGACGCGUAACUGGUCUGAGAGGAUGAUCAGUCACACUGGAACUGAGACACGGUCCAGACUCCUACGGGAGGCAGCAGUAGGGAAUAUUGCUCAAUGGGGGAAACCCUGAAGCAGCAACGCCGCGUGGAGGAUGACACUUUUCGGAGCGUAAACUCCUUUUCUUGGGAAAGAAUUAUGACGGUACCCAAGGAAUAAGCACCGGCUAACUCCGUGCCAGCAGCCGCGGUAAUACGGAGGGUGCAAGCGUUACUCGGAAUCACUGGGCGUAAAGGACGCGUAGGCGGAUUAUCAAGUCUCUUGUGAAAUCUAACGGCUUAACCGUUAAACUGCUUGGGAAACUGAUAGUCUAGAGUAAGGGAGAGGCAGAUGGAAUUCUUGGUGUAGGGGUAAAAUCCGUAGAGAUCAAGAAGAAUACCCAUUGCGAAAGCGAUCUGCUGGAACUUAACUGACGCUAAUGCGUGAAAGCGUGGGGAGCAAACAGGAUU
rnacentral:rRNA from 1 species